rnacentral:rRNA from 1 species
AUUGAACGCUGGCGGAAUGCUUUACACAUGCAAGUCGAACGGCAGCACGGGGCAACCUGGUGGCGAGUGGCGAACGGGUGAGUAAUACAUCGGAACGUGCCCAAUCGUGGGGGAUAACGUAGCGAAAGUUACGCUAAUACCGCAUACGAUCUACGGAUGAAAGCGGGGGAUCGCAAGACCUCGCGCGAAUGGAGCGGCCGAUGUCAGAUUAGGUAGUUGGUGGGGUAAAGGCUCACCAAGCCAACGAUCUGUAGCUGGUCUGAGAGGACGACCAGCCACACUGGAACUGAGACACGGUCCAGACUCCUACGGGAGGCAGCAGUGGGGAAUUUUGGACAAUGGGGGGCAACCCUGAUCCAGCCAUGCCGCGUGAGUGAAGAAGGCCUUCGGGUUGUUAAAGCUCUUCGGUGGGAAGAAGUACGCGCGCUCUAACAUAGCGUGUGG